rnacentral:rRNA from 1 species
CCUACGGGAGGCAGCAGUGAGGAAUAUUGGUCAAUGGCCGGAAGGCUGAACCAGCCAAGCCGCGUGAAGGACGAAGGUGCCAAGCAUUGUAAACUUCUUUUGUCAAGGGACAAAAUCAGGCUCGAGAGCCUGACCGAGGGUACUUGAAGAAAAAGCAUCGGCUAACUCCGUGCCAGCAGCCGCGGUAAUACGGAGGAUGCGAGCGUUAUCCGGAUUUAUUGGGUUUAAAGGGUGCGUAGGCGGACUGUUAAGUCAGCGGUAAAAGCCCGGGGCUCAACCCCGGCGAGCCGUGGAAACUGGCUGUCUUGAGAUGGCGAGAGGUAUGCGGAAUGCGCAGUGUAGCGGUGAAAGGCUUAGAUAUUGCGCAGAACUCCGAUUGCGAAGGCAGCAUACCGGCGGCGAUCUGACGCUGAGGCACGAAAGCGUGGGUAUCGAACAGGAUUAGAUACCCGGGUAGUC